rfam:Oryctolagus cuniculus chromosome 2, whole genome shotgun sequence.
ACUAAUGCCAAUGAUCAGCAAGCCAAGCCUUAGCAUGUGGGCCCAUGGCCGGCUCAUGGGUCCCUACACCUUUUCAUAAUAUUCAAUGACAAAAAAGACUUAGAAGUAAAACUUUUUCCACAAGGAAGAAGCAGUAAUAUCCAC